AUUAUUCCUGCACCGGUUCGAGUUGGAGAAGAAUUUCCACCGUCUCGGGAUCUAGAAAUUAGAAGCAAACAAGUUGAAGAUGAAGCGACACAAUUGGCAAGAGAAAGGGAGGUUAGAGGAAGUGAUGAUUUCUCAAUUAAGAAUUGCAUAGCAGUUCUAAACACAUUGGAAGUCACAAAGGAGAAGGUCAAAGCCUAUAAGGUGUUCAAGGACUCUGACAAUCGACAGAUUUCUUGAGUGCCUGUAAUGAUGAUAGAGAGGCUGCAUUGAUGUGGUUGAGGGAUGAGAUGGCUUAGUAGGUAUACCUAAGUUCUAGACUUCCAGGGGUCGAGUUAUGUACGAAGUAGCUCCAAUCUUUAGAGGAAGAAUGUCUUCUCGACGGGUUUUAUGUACUUGUUCUAUCAAAGAGUGAGAUGAAUCAUUAUCUAGAUCUAUGAUCUCGUCAUAUUUAGUACACUGGAAAUGUAAUCUUUUGCAACUUAUUAGUGUUAACAGACCAUGAGAUAAUUGUGCAGGUUGUUUGAAAAGGCAUUAAUAUUGAGCUGACUGAAAAUUUUUAUUUUGGUAUUA